rnacentral:rRNA from 1 species
CUGGCGGCAGGCCUAACACAUGCAAGUCGAACGGUAGCACAGCAGAGCUNGCUCUCGGGUGACGAGUGGCGGACGGGUGAGUAAUGUCUGGGAAACUGCCUGAUGGAGGGGGAUAACUACUGGAAACGGUAGCUAAUACCGCAUAAUGUCGCAAGACCAAAGAGGGGGACCUUCGGGCCUCUUGCCAUCAGAUGUGCCCAGAUGGGAUUAGCUAGUAGGUGGGGUAACGGCUCACCUAGGCGACGAUCCCUAGCUGGUCUGAGAGGAUGACCAGCCACACUGGAACUGAGACACGGUCCAGACUCCUACGGGAGGCAGCAGUGGGGAAUAUUGCACAAUGGGCGCAAGCCUGAUGCAGCCAUGCCGCGUGUAUGAAGAAGGCCUUCGGGUUGUAAAGUACUUUCAGCGGGGAGGAAGGUGUUGUGGUUAAUAACCGCAGCAAUUGACGUUACCCGCAGAAGAAGCACCGGCUAACUCCGUGCCAGCAGCCGCGGUAAUACGGAGGGUGCAAGCGUUAAUCGGAAUUACUGGGCGUAAAGCGCACGCAGGCGGUCUGUCAAGUCGGAUGUGAAAUCCCCGGGCUCAACCUGGGAACUGCAUUCGAAACUGGCAGGCUGGAGUCUUGUAGAGGGGGGUAGAAUUCCAGUGGUAGCGGUGGAGAUGCGUAGAGAUCUGGAGAAUACGGGUGGCGAAAGGCGGCCCCCUGGA